CAUACGAGGGGCACUCUUCACAGGCCUUUGCGAUCCGCUCGACCUCCCAUCACCUCCCUCGACCCGCCAUUCGCGUGGAUCGACCAACCCUCCGUAGCACGAUCCUGGCGGCGGUGCGGUGCAGCUCAAGCGGUGGUUCCCUGCGAGCUUCGAUCAGUUGAUCUCGGCCCGAGGAUUUGAUGUUGGAGUUCUAUCCACCAUGCAGUCGUCCGCGGCCAUGCGCCUGUACAAACGUCGGCAUCCUCACCGUGGCCGCAGGUCGUCCAUAUACGAUUAACGGAGGGGGUGACGUGGGUGCACUCUCUGUGUUUGGGUAAAUGCCCCAGUGAAGUUGAUGUCCCGUGCAGGUCGAGCAUCGCCGUUUGUUUCUCUAUAGUCUGUGCUGGUCAGCUGACAGCAAGAAAAGGGUUCAAUUGGAACUAGAGAUGUUGCAUUAUGCAUGUCUGAGCUUCUCUAUUCAUCCUGCCGGUCUUUUCUCAUACGCUCAUGAAUACAAUUCUGACAUUGUCUUGGACGAAAAUCUCCUGAAGCUAUUUUCUGUUUCAAAUAUCUUAUUAGCGACACGUGCUUAUUGGAUUUCACAGUGGAGAAAUAACAUUUGUUUGCAGGUUCUUGAUCCUGCACUGCCUCUACGAUUUAUGAUCUAAGAGCACUAUGUGACAGAGCCUCGAUUUGACGUAGGUAGGAGAGCAGCCAACAACCAGAGGCGUCCAAUGGAGACUAAGCUCUUGAUAGAAUUGGGAGGUUUGAGAUGUAUGCUUGGAGAAGAGGAGAAAAGAGGAUGCUUGAAUCUGGAGAUGGUAAGAGUAUUCUGUUAGCUUCUGCCCUUCUCAGGUUGUAAUGGUGGGUGGUGGGUGGGCGAUACUUGCAUCUCGGCGGCGGCGCGGCACGAACGCUGUCCUGGCGGCCGGCGAUCGUGAGGGCGAGCGAACUAGCGAGCGAGCGAGGGAGAAUACUGAGUUAGGACGCCCCAAGAUCAAAACUGAUCUCCAAGCAUAACUUACAUUAACAUGGAGUAUGUAGUCAUAUAGACUAGGUACAUAACGCAUAGACUGAAUUACAAAUUUGAAAACGCUGGGAACUGCUUCCAGACGUGGGCGUGUGUGCGUUUUUGCCGUUCAACCGUGCUGCCUCCUCUUGUACACAUUCCCAGUCAUAAUAUAUUGAAUACAUGGUGCAAGUAAGGGUCCAGUUUCAUAUUUAUGAGGGUAUUGUUAAGCUAAUACACCCUAUGAGCGGACAAAGAGGCACCAUGGACUAAGAACCAUUCUGAGGUAUAUUCUACUCUAUUUAAUUUUUUAUUUCCAAAAAAAUAAGUGAUUUAUACCUGAUGAUUGUAGCUUAACAUUUAUAUCCUUGAACUCUGAGUAAAAAUUGGUAUCCAUUUGGUGUUAACUAACACGUGAUAUAUAUUAUUGAUUUGUCCAGUUAGCUGUAUUCUCGAUGAAACUCUCUGCCUCCCUGCAAUCCUUCUAAUUCCCGAUGGUUACACAGCAAAACAAAGUAGAUAGUAAAUUCGGCUCCAUCUAUAGGCAUUUUACAUAGUAAGAAAAAAAAAAUCUUUCGGCAGGCGCAUUAGGAUCUAUGCCGUCGACAACAGCGGCUCCUUUGGCUCCUUUUUGAUACAAAACUAAUUCUUCACAUAGGUGCAUCUUAAUUUCAGUAGCAUUUGUGGCUGGUGACUGAGCUUAUUUUCUGAUAGGAUAUCACAUUAUCUGUCCUUUCUCUACAAUUAAUCUUGGUCAUGAAUGCAGGAAAUGAUUAUGCUCUUUGUUGGAUUCGAAACUGAGUGCAGAUGAGUGAUAAUAAUCUUUGCCUCAUGAGACUCAUGGUUUUGGUUCAGAAUUAACAAGCAUGGAGCAUGGCAGAUACACAUUCCACAACCAAACAGCUGAGUAUGCCUCUUCAAUUAAUCUGCAGGUCCCUCAGGUCGCAUAAUGACCUGUAAAUUUAGAGGAGAAUUUGCUUCCCUUUCAUUUUUCCGAUCACCUUCGCAGCCUCUUCCUGCUUGGAGCUCAUUUCCCUGUUAAGUUUCCAAAUGUGCCGAGGUUCAAACUAAUGUUGAUGACCUCAUGGAAGACACCAGGAAAUGAUAUUUACUAUGAUAUCAAUAUUAAUAACCAGGUGCUUAAAUACAUCUGAAAUUGUCUUGUUUAAGUUGUUUGUAGUUGGGUACAUAUCGUUUGCUAUUCCUGAAAAUGAUUCUUAUGUUGCCAAAGUGGGAAACAUUUGUAUGUAAUCCUCUCCUUUUUUUGGCCAAGUGUAUGCAAUCUAAUUAGUGACAACCAUGUCUGUAAGGGUCCAAUCAGCAUGACCAGACCAUGCAGCAUCUCCUAGAAAUUAGUUUCUGUUUUUAACCUUUGUAAAACUUGAAUGCAGGAGUUGUUUACUGGCAACCUCCUGAGUCAGUACGAAUAAGAUUGAAAGAAUCAUCAGGGAACCAGCAGUCAGUAGAUAUGGUUCUGAUGAUGGACUUCUAGAACAUUGUGAAGCACUUCUCGAAAAGGUUCACCAAGGCUAUCGAGGAGGCGGAGAGCAGAGGGAUUGCAGCUGUCCGUGUUCUUGUGACAGACCGACCUACUGAGAUGGUUCUUUGGUAGGUUCUAAAUGUGUAAUAGACACCGGCUGACUGGACGUGAUAGCACAAAUGAAAAAAAAUAUAUAACAGAUGCAUUAUAAUAUUUUCUUGUUCCUACUUAA